AUAGCGUAUAUUAAAGUUGUUGCAGUUAAAAAGCUCGUAGUUGAAUUUUGGACCUGGCUGGGUGGUCUUGCCGCAAGGUUAGCACUGCUCUGGUCGGGUCUUUCCUUCUGGGGAACCUGUGUGCGCUUAAUUGAGUGCGCAGGGGAUCCAGGACUUUUACUUUGAAAAAAUUAGAGUGUUUAAAGCAGGCGUACGCUUGAAUACAUUAGCAUGGAAUAAUAAAAUAGGCCUUUGGUUCUAUUUUGUUGGUUUCUAGGACCGGAAGAAUGAUUAAUAGGGACGGUUGGGGGCAUUAGUAUUUGAUUGUCAGAGGUGAAAUUCUUGGAUUUAUCAAAGACUAACUUCUG
rnacentral:rRNA from 1 species